rnacentral:rRNA from 1 species
UCCUGGCUCAGGAUGAACGCUGGCGGCGUGCAUCAUACAUGCAAGUCGAACGAGAAUUGGUAGCUUGCUAUCAAGGAAAGUGGCGGACGGGUGAGUAAUAUAUAGGGGAAUCUGCCCAUAAGUGGGGGACAACAGAGGGAAACUUCUGCUAAUACCGCAUAUGAGAUAUUCUGGAAUGGGUAUCUUGAAAGAUUUAUCGCUUAUGGAUGAGCCUGUAUCUGAUUAGCUAGUUGGUGGUGUAAAGGACUACCAAGGCGACGAUCAGUAGCUGGUUUGAGAGGAUGAUCAGCCACAAUGGGACUGAGACACGGCCCAUACUCCUACGGGAGGCAGCAGUAGGGAAUUUUGCGCAAUGGGGGAAACCCUUGACGCAACAACGCCGCGUGAACGAAGAAGCUUUUAGGAGCGUAAAGUUCUGUCAGUAGGGACGAAAGAUGACGGUACCUACAGAGGAAGCACCGGCUAACUCCGUGCCAGCCGCUGC